GCUUAACUCUGGAACUGCCAUUAAAACUUUUCAGCUAGAGUAUGAUAGAGGAAAGCAGAAUUUCUAGUGUAGAGGUGAAAUUCGUAGAUAUUAGAAAGAAUACCAAUUGCGAAGGCAGCUUUCUGGAUCAUUACUGACACUGAGGAACGAAAGCAUGGGUAGCGAAGAGGAUUAGAUACCCUCGUAGUCCAUGCCGUAAACGAUGUGUGUUAGACGUUGGAAAUUUAUUUUCAGUGUCGCAGCGAAAGCGAUAAACACACCGCCUGGGGAGUACGACCGCAAGGUUAAAACUCAAAUGAAUUGACGGGGACCCGCACAAGUAGUGGAGCAUGUGGUUUAAUUCGAAGAUACGCGCAGAACCUUACCAACACUUGACAUGUUCGUCGCGACUCUAAGAGAUUAGAGUUUUCGGUUCGGCCGGACGAAACACAGGUGCUGCAUGGCUGUCGUCAGCUCGUGUCGUGAGAUGUUGGGUUAAGUCCCGCAACGAGCGCAACCCUCACUUUUAGUUGCCAUCAUUAAGUUGGGCACUCUGAAAGAACUGCCAGUGAUAAGCUGGAGGAAGGUGGGGAUGACGUCAAGUCCUCAUGGCCCUUACGUGUUGGGCUACACACGUGCUACAAUGGUAUCUACAACAGGAAGCAAGACUGCGAGGUCAAGCAAAUCCCUAAAAGAUACCUCAGUUCGGAUUGCACUCUGCAACUCGAGUGCAUGAAGCUGGAAUUACUAGUAAUCGUGGAUCAGCGUGCCACGGUGAAUGCGUUCCCGGGUCUUGUACACACCGCCCGUCACACCAUGGGAGUUGGUUCUACCUUAAGGCAAGGUUUCAAACCCUUGACCACGGUAUAGUCAGCGACUGGGGUGAAGUCGUAACAAGGUAACCGUA
rnacentral:rRNA from 1 species